CGUCGAAUAGCUCAGUUGGUAGAGCAACGGACCGAUAAUCCGCAGGUCGCUGGUUCGAAUCCAGCUUCGACGA
rnacentral:tRNA from 1 species